GGCUCGUUGGUCUAGGGGUAUGAUUCUCGCUAUGGGUGCGAGGGGCCCCGGGUUCGAAUCCCGGACGAGCUG
rnacentral:tRNA from 1 species